rnacentral:rRNA from 1 species
GAUGAACGCUAGCUACAGGCUUAACACAUGCAAGUCGAGGGGAAACGACAUCGAAAGCUUGCUUUUGAUGGGCGUCGACCGGCGCACGGGUGAGUAACGCGUAUCCAACCUUCCCACCACUUGGGGAUAACCUUGCGAAAGUAAGACUAAUACCCAAUGAUAUCUCUAGAAGACAUCUGAAAGAGAUUAAAGAUUUAUCGGUGAUGGAUGGGGAUGCGUCUGAUUAGCUUGUUGGCGGGGUAACGGCCCACCAAGGCUACGAUCAGUAGGGGUUCUGAGAGGAAGGUCCCCCACAUUGGAACUGAGACACGGUCCAAACUCCUACGGGAGGCAGCAGUGAGGAAUAUUGGUCAAUGGGCGAGAGCCUGAACCAGCCAAGUAGCGUGCGGGAUGACGGCCCUAUGGGUUGUAAACUGCUUUUAUAAGGGAAUAAAGUGAGUCUCGUGAGACUUUUUGCAUGUACCUUAUGAAUAAGGACCGGCUAAUUCCGUGCCAGCCGCCGCAGUAA